AUGGCUGGAUUUGAUGAAUCGAUGGGACUGCCUUAUGGGCCUUACAUAAACAAUGAGAUGCCUUCUGUUGGUUCUUAUGAGCCACAUCUUCCUUUAGACGCAUCAAGCACCCUACAUGUUGAAGUAAGGCUGGUCAACACAGGAUAUAAUAAUCGACAUGUAAUAGCUUAUGUUGACUUUGAAACUCCUGCCCAAGCCUUCUCUGCCAUGAAGUCUCUGCAAGGUUAUUUGUUUGACAUGCAUGACCGAUACUCAGUCAAAUUGGACCUCCAGUUCCUUUUUGGUCCGUCCAAGGCUUUACCUGAUACACUAUGA
rnacentral:rRNA from 1 species